CACAUCACCGCAAAAACUGAAAUUUCUUUCUUAAAUUACUGUGAAAACUGUACCGACUCCCACAUUUCUUGUUGUUGGGUUGCACAGAUUGCAGCAGCAGAAAAACCGUGUUUUUUGUUGGUGGAUUAAAUUUGCUCUAGGAAAUAUGGCGGGUUACAGUUACGCUCUAACAAUGUAAAGAAAGAGGAAGAAGAGGAUGUGCAGUCCUAGAAUCUCUCUCGACUCUGAGCAAUCUCUCUUUGAAGCCCUACCUCGUGAUAUUCUAGUUCAAAUAUCGUGUGGUGUGAACCAUAAAGAUUUGAAGCAGGUUUUUAUGUCUCAAAAACGAUUAGAGAAAUGAGAAUACAAAUGGGUUUAAGGAAAUUGAAGCUCCAAACACUGGUUGAGGAAAGUAAAUUGCAAGAAGUUGGAUGACAAUAUCUCGCAGACCUUGUAAUAAAGUAACCCAAAAAAACACCUAGUACAAUGGUUGGAUUAACACAUUUUCUUAAUGAAGAAAAACCAGUGUAAUGCAAUAACCCCAAAAAAUCAUAACAUUAUUCUUUAAAAAGAAGCAGUUGAAGCUAAAGCAAUGUGAAAAGGCAGCAAAAAUGCUGCUUUGCUUUAAGGGAGACUGCGAAUUUUCAUUGAAGAUAGUCUUAGUGUCAUUCUUGAUUGGUAUUCAUAUCAUCAUUUAUCACAUUGGUGGGUUAUUAAGUGUG